GUUUGGCGCAAUAGAAAAGCAAAGUUGAUUGGUGAAUCUGCCUUCAAGACCUCUAUGGAUAUAGACAAUGGCAACGAAAGACAUGCUAUGAUCGAAAAGUUUGAUCAUAAGAGAAAGGCAAUGUCUGAAGUAGUUCCAUGUCAUGUUCCAAAAGAGUCAAUUUGCUUUUAUUGCCAAGAGAAAGGGCAUUGGAGACGAAGCUGCCCCAUUUACCUAAGAGAUCUAAGAGAUGGGAGAGUCGAAACGUAUGGCUCUAAUAUAGGUAAAAUCCAUUAACUAACUCUUUUAAGCUUCUAUUCUAGAUUCUUAAUACAUAAUGUGAUAAGAUUACAAUUGAUGUUUUGUAGGAUCGAAGAAAAGAAAGGAAGCUUAAGGGAAGAAGUGAGCAGAAUCUAACCGUGAAGGAAUGGAUUUCGAUCGCAUUUCUCGAAGAUUAGAUUCUUGAGCUACUACUUAGAGUUAGAAUUAGAUUGCUAAGAAAGAUGUAUUAGCAUAGUUUUUCAAUGAAUUGCAUUGUAAGGACAAAUUUUUUCCGCAAUAAAAUAAAUUUUGAUUUUAUAUUAUUUAUUUAUCCUUGCAAUGGCGUAUAUGAAAAAUUGAUGUUUGAAUGUUUCUAUUAUUAGCAAUAAUGGAUUUGGUUCUUAUUAUGUUAUUUAUGGAAAGUCGAGAGUUUACCAAAUAGGGAGAGUUUCUCAUCGCCCAAGUUUCAAUUGGACAGAAACUUGGAAUCAUGCAACUUGGUUGCACGAUGAAUGAGAAAUUUCAUAUUUGGAAAUUAGACUAAUUCAUUGACAAAGUGUCAAGUGAAGGACUAGGAGAUCGAGUACACAAAGUUGCGUGUUGAUCAAGUCCACCAUAAGAGUAACAAAGAUAUUCGUCAUGAUUUACUAAAGGUUUAGUAAAUAUGAUUAUACUUAUAAGAUUAAGUGUAAUUCUGAAUUGAUUGAAAAAGUUUAAAUCAAUAGCAGAACGAAUAAGAAGAAUCAAGUAGGCAGAAAGAUAAAAGUUUCUCCAUUCUAAGAAGAAGGGAGAGUACCUUUUAUGCUUUAUGAUAGGUCUUAAUGAUUAAGAACCAUAUCUCAAUUGAUCCUCUAAGUGAGUCUUAGUACAAUUGUAUGUCUAAGAAGAGGAAUCAAGAAUUGAAGAAAUGGUUAAAUCAAGAAGUCAAUCAUACUUCGUUCCAAAACAAGUCUUAGAGUUAAGAUUGUGACAUUGAGUGAUAAGUAUUAAGAAGGUUUAUAACAUUCAUCAAAUGUGGAAAGUUGUGAUGUCUUGGAUAAGACAAAGACCAACUAGGACCAAUUUAUGAAGUGUUUUGAUAAAAGCUACACUAACUCUUGAAUAUUUGUUUGUCAAGAAAUGUUUAUUGACAAGAGAAUCUUAUAUGUCAAGGAGUCAGUGGGAGUCUUAAUGGUCUUGAAAGGUUUCAAGAACAAAUCAAAUAAACCUUAUCGAUCAUCACUAGCACACGAGUUGAGGUUUACAACCUAUCGUGUUGACAUUAUUUUGUUUCUGUGCCAAUCCAAUCGAGUUAAUUAUGCAUGUGAGUUCUAUGAGUUCUCAUUUUGAACGCAUAAAAGGCAAAGCACCUUAAUCAAUGAAAGGUACAUUGAUAGGAAAGGGUGAGCUGCUUAACUACUUGGAAGACAUGGUGGGCAGCUGUGCUACCAUAAGGCAAGAAAUCAAGAUUAAGAAAGUUCGGUCCAUAUGAGUUUGAAUUUGUCGUAAACUUUGGUUUUAACAAAUUCACAUGGAUAGGAACACAUACACCGUUUAAAUCUAAGUGUCAUAAGAUUUCCUCCUUCAUGAAAAUGAUUGUGAGGAAAUGCUUUCACUAAGAAAGAUUUUAAGAAGAUAGUGAUUGUAAAAUUGCAUUCUCGAAUUCGAUUAUGGUUACGGUAUCCCUUUCCAUAAUUUGAAUUGUGAGGUUUGGCAAUUAGUCUUAAUUGUUUAGACACACAUAUGAACUAUCGAAGGCAAAGGUGUAUAAGUUCAAGAAGCCUUGAUAAAAGAUUAUCAAAGCACUAAGUAUUAGAAACAUGAACUUAAGAAAUUCAAUAAGUAUUGUUUUUCUGAAAGUUAAGAUGUUUAUGAAUACAUGUCGAAGCUAGUGGGAGCAUAAGUGUUAUGUUUUAUAAUAAUCAUCAUGAUAGUGGGAGCAUAAAUGUUAUGAUUGUAUGAUUAUUAAGGCACGUAUUGCAAGUUGGCAAUAUUAAUUAUAGAAAACAAGAGUUAUACCUUGCAAAGUCGUAAGGGUUGUAAAGUUGUUUUGCUAUAAUUAAGGGAGAGAAUAUUAUGCUUCAUUUCAAAUCUAAAGGAUUAGGUUGAGAAAUGUUAAUAAAUUUAGUCAAAGGUACAUAGUGUGUUCUUAAAAUUUCGAUUAUGAUUACGGCAUUCCUCUUCACAAUUCGAAUUUUGAGAACAUAGCAAAUAAAACAUUAUGCGUCGUGUCCCAUACGCUUCGGGUAUAGGAUCGAUUGCAAAUGCUUUAAUGUUUGACCAUUCUAAAAUUUUCCAAAUGUCGAGCGCAUUUAGAGGGAAAAGGGACUAGAAUUGGUUUUGACUAAAAUAAUUAAACAACUAUCAAAGGACAAUCCAAAGUUCGACGAGGAUUGGUCGCUUGUGAGUAGUUGGAAGCAUGGUAUUGGAUGGACCAUAUCGACAUUAUUAUGAAUAGAAAAGAUUCUAUUAAGAAUGAGUUGUCAUAUGGAAAUUAUGGAAAUGUUUCCAUAUUGGAUGGACCAUAUCGACAUCAUUACGAAUAGAUAAGAUUCUAUUAAGAAUGAGUUGUCAUAUGGAAAAUAUGGAAACGUGUCCAUAUUGGGAAUUGAAUAUUGAAAAUCUAUGUCUAGAUUAGAAACUUUUAUGCAAAAGGAUGUUCAAAGGAAUGUACUUUGAGUGAGAGACAUCAUAUCUAAGGAAUUGUCUUGUAACAAUCUCCGAUAGAGGACUUUGUAAUAUCAUUGGCAAUAGUCUUUGUGACUUUGGUGCAGUGACAUUACGAAAGGAUCAUUGCAUAGAAUGUUAGAAUCUAGCAUAUUCUAUAAGUAGCAAGAAUUUGAUAUUCUUUCACUUAUGAAAAAAGAUUUGGAGUUGUGAAAUGAGAAUGAUUGGAAAUGUGUUCAAUGUGAUCUAUUUCACAAAGUAAGAACCAUAGGUAAACAUUGUGUGCAUGCUAGGAGCAUGGGACAAGUGUUGUAAUUCAAGUAAGAAGUUGAUUACCCGAAACGACAAAUAAUGAGUAAUCAAUAUGGUGAUAAAUAAAAGGAGUUUUAUUUAUACUCAAAGGUUUGAGGCCAUAUGGGAUUAGUAUUAUUCUUGUGUUUCACAUUUGCAUGUUUUGACUUCCAGAAUAAUUGAAUUUAUUAAGAAUAAUCGAAUUAUUCGAACGGGCCACAGUCGUUCAUAUGUUGGAAGUAGAUAUGAAUGAAGACUGUCGUGAAUUGGUGUGUGGAUUGUCUAAAAGAGUAUUAGACAUAAGCAAAUGUUUGCUGCAACGUUCAUGAGUGCUUAUGAAUAUGAUUUGAGCAUUGGAUUAAACCCACGCUCACUUGGAUCACUCCAUGAAUUGUAUCACGAGUGAUUGGUGAGACGAUAACAUCUUAUAUUCUUGAAACCGAGAUGUGUGAGUUGUAUCUUGCAAAUCGGUUGCACAUUGAUAAUAUGUAAACGCACUAGUAACUUGGUGUUAUAAAACAUAUUGUUGUGUGUGAUUCGGUGAGUGAGUGCAAGCAAGCAUUGUAUCAAAGUUUAUCCGUUCCUUUUAUCCAAAGUAGGAUAAAAGCGAUAUCUUUGGGCCCCUCGAUGAUUUAGUGAUGACAAACGUAAAUGCUCGGCCGGGCUAGGGCUAAUUUGAUUUGUUCAAUUAGUCAGUCGUCAUAAAUCGGAAAUCGAGAUAUAGUACAAAGAGAAUGAUUUGAAAUCAUAUCUCAUAUGAUAUCUAGAAUGGAGGAAUAUAUGAUCCCUUAUCUAAGGACACGCGUAUCUGAUAGGAUCAGAGUUGACAGCGGCUUUGGAAAGCUACGAUUGCAGAUCAGGAUCUGAAGUCAUACGCAUAAUAGUUAUUAGACUUAUCCAAGUGGGAGACUGUUGGAUUAGUGUCUAAGUCCAUAACUAUUUUGGUAUGUACUUGACCCGAUGGUGCAUGGUCCUUUUGGGUUGCCUUCACCAAAGCAACUUGAUAGGAUGAAUUAUGGAGAGAAAGGAUUAAAUAUGAUUUAUUAAUAUAUUAUGGGAAUAAUAUAUUAAAGGAGAAAUCAUAUUGUUUAAUUAAUAUUAGUCAAUAAUUAAUUGGUUAUUAGUUUUGUGACUAAAAGAGAUUAAUUGAACUUAAGGGACUAGAAUUGUAAUUAUAAGAUAAUUGCAAUUUGGGCCAUGGAUUGCCUUGUAUUAAGGAGUAGACAAAUUCCGUGGCGAAGCCCAUAAGGAAAUCGUCCAAAGCCCUUAAGAAAAGGAGUCUAUGGGUUGCUUAGGGCUUAAGCAUCCAAAUUAGGGUUUCCUUGUUAGAUAACCCUAAUAACCUCACUAUAUAUAGACCCCUUAAGGACCAAAAACGUGGACAAGACUUGUUCUAGGGUUUCACACGUUUUUGGGCAGCCUUCAUCCUCUUGCUUAUGGUGUUUGUGAACCAUUAGAGGAGUGACAUUUGUGACUCUAGGCUUUCUAAAGUCAAUACAAGAAGGAUUUGGGAUUGUUAUUGCUACAUAACAAUCAAGGUAACAUCUUAAACCUAUUCUUAUGUUAAUAUGAUUACUUGUAUGCUAGAAUUAGGGUUUAUAGUCUUGGAUAACUUGCAUAUACAAUAGAGAUACCUAGAUCCAAGCAUUAGGGUUUGUAUGAGCACAUAGGAUGUUCUUAGGACCAAAACCCAUCACAAUGGAGAUAAUCUUUCUAAGUAAUGGUGGAAGUGUUCUUGGAGUUAGCUACAAUUUGUAUUAAAAUCUAGCUAGGAAUAUGAAAAACAAGAAUCUUGGAAAAUGGGGAACGUGAUAUUUGAGACUUGUGAAAUUAUUUGUUAUUGAAGACUUGUGAAAUAGGAAUAUGAAUAUUGUUAUCUUUAGAUUUUUUAUGAGCAGUGUUGUAUAUUUGUUAGGAACAAUGGUGUUGUAUAUGGUUAUAUGUAAUGGUUAUAUGUAAUGUUUAGAUGUUUUUUUAUGUGUAACAAUAUUUUUAAUCACUUAUGAUUAAACAAAACAUAUGAAGUAGUAUCAUACAUACUUAUAAAGCUAGCAUUUUUUCUUGAAUCUCAGGCAUUUAAAACCCCCUUUUUUAACUUUCUCAAACCACAUUCAUUUGAAACCCCCUUUUUUAACUAAUGCAACUCAAAAGUUUUCUUAAUUAUGAUUUAACACUCAAAAGUUUUAUAAUUUUAAUUAGCAUUUAGUGAAAAAUUUACUAUAAAAGGCCAAUCUUUUGUGUCUUUUGUGUUAUAUAAAAUCUUACAUGUAAGAAGGAUUUGAAGAUAUUGUGAUUCAAAAGUUUUCAUAUAGUUGAAGCAUUCACGAUCCAAAUAUGAUGAUUUGAAGAAAUGGGUUAUGUCGCAUCGAUGGUAAUUGUAAUAUGAUUUUUUCUUUCAACCAAAACAAAUGAAGCUUUUCUAUUCUUUCUUUAUAUUCAGUUUCUCAUUUAAUCUUUAUAUGUGAUUUGUGUGUAUUACUCAAUCUUGAAUGUGACUCUCCAAACAUCAAUGUUUUUCUUGGAAUAUCUUUCUAAUUCUUCUUUUUCAAGAAAAAUAUUUUGAUUGCAGGUUAGUGAAGAAUUGUCAUCAAGUUUCUGUGGUUGGAUGGUGUUAGAUGAAGAAAGAAGAUUCAUAAAAUAGAUAUAGGUUUUUUUGUUUGAGCAAAGUUGACGAAUGUUAGUUUUUUCUUUUGAUUUAAAAGUAUGUUUAUGUAGCAUCUUUAUUUAUAUAUUCAACCAUCCAAUGAUCUUAUUUAUUUGAUUAUAGUUUUUCUAUUUUGAUUAUGUUUAUUUCCUAUUAUUUUUUUUUGUUCGGUUAUCCUACACAACAUAUUUUAAAGAUAACAUAAUUUUGAACAUUUGAUAUGUAAUUAUGAUAGACUUAUCAUGAUAUGUUCUUCAUAUGAAAAUAAUUUAUCCAUAUUACUACGACAAGAAUUAUAUAUGACAUUUACAAAAAUAUGUAUAUUAUAUAUGAUUUGUUUAACAUGUAUAUGCACCUAUGUAUGUUAUAAAUUUAUAAUUAAAUAUCUUCAUGUUUGAUAAUUGAAGAGAUUCNAGAGUUUUUAACUUAUGAUUAUUAAUUAGUAAUCACUAAUAACUUUUUAUUUUCCUUUCUUUUAUAAGGUUGUAAAGUUUUGCUCAUUAAAAACAUUAAUGUAUUUGAAGAGAUUUGUGAUUUAACUAUGAAGAGUUAAUAUAAAUGUUAUAAUAGAUGUUUUAGUGUUUUUAUGUUAUUAAAAGUUAUAGUGUUUAUUUUUCAUAUUUUUUAUUAUUCGUUCUAUAUAUAUCUUUUUUAAUACAAAUGCUAUAAUAGAUGUUUUUCUAUUUUUAUGUUACUAAAAGUUGCAGUUCAUAUUUUUGUUCAUACGUUUUGUUACCCGUUAUAUUAUCUUUCAUUUGAUAUAUAAUUUACACAAUUUUAAACAGUUUAUAAAAUUAUCAAAUAAUUGUAUAUAUCACAAUGACUUAAAAUUAAAUUAUAAUGUUUAAUAGAACUAAUAUGUUAACUAUAUGUUUGCUUUACUACUAACAUUUUGUUUCAAAGUAGAAAUAUUAAAAAAUAAUUUGGUAAAAGUUAUUAUUAACUAUAUAUUUCUAUUCUCGCGCAACGUGCGGGGAUUCGCCUAGUUACAUAAUAUAUUAUGAUUAUACAGAUGAAUAUUGUAUAUGGUUAUGUGUAAUGAUUACAUGUAUUGAAUAAUAGUUUAUAUGUAAUCUUAAAUGCUUUUAGUAACAUUUAAUAGAAGUUUGGUCAUGAAUGACUAUAUUAUCAAAUCAAAGAAAGAAUUAUCAAUGUAGAUUAAAUCCAAUAGACAAAAUCAUGGUAAAUUCUGUUUUAUAAAAGAGUAAAGUGUACUAAACAAAAAUUAUAUUAUUUUGAAAAAAAAUUCAUGACUUAUUCUUUACUGAUUAAAGCAGUAAAUAUCUAUGUAGCUUUUGAUGAUUGUUCUGCUGCAAGUUUGAUUGGGCAUGUCUGCAAGUUAUGAGGAGCCCUUUCUCCACAUCCUGAGCAUCUUCUUGUUUGCUUGUUUGAAUUUUUAUACACUAUUUCUGUUGCACUUUGAAUUCUACUUUUCUUUUCGCAUCCUUUAUUCCUUUGAACAUUUGGAACAUUGACGUCAAUGUCUUAUGGGAUAGAUAUGCCCAUAAGAUUUCCUACCUCUUCAACAUCUGUCCUAUUCUUCUUCAAUUCAUUUGUAGGAUCGUUUUCAUAUUCCUUCAGCAUUCUUUCUUUUUCCUUAACAAACAAAUCCAUUUUUUCUUCAUUUUUUUCUUAUGUAUUCCAAACAUGCUUCAAAGUUGUAGUAUGCUUGAUUUACAGAUCUGUUAAUUUCACUGUCUCCUGUAUCAUAUACAUGUCUACCAAAAUUAUAAUUCCUUGAUAUCACAUCAUUUCUCCAACGAUUCUCAAUGUACUUUUCAGGUAUCUCCUUAAUUCCAUGUUUCGUGAGUAUGUUGAAUGCAUGUCUAAACAAAGUCCCAAAGCGGUUGAAGUGUUCACAAGUACAUUUUACAUCAUUUGUUGGAAGUUUUAUUUCCACAUAUUCAAAAUAAAAUUAAAGCAUUAAGUGUUUUAUAAUCAAAACUGAAUAUUUUUUUAUAUUGUGUGCUGAUUCAACAAAAUUUAAAAUAAUAAUAUAUUACCUCAAAUUCUUUUUUUAGAUCACUGUUUUUGUUGAGUUGUUCCACUUUAUAUAACUCCUAUCAAUUUUUUGUUCCAAGAUGUUCGUAUUGGAAGUACCAGGAACCUUUAUAGACUUCUUUCUAUACUUCAUAAAAACAAUGUACUUGUACAAACUUUUGCAGCAUGUUUUUCUAUUGGUCGUGGUGAAAUAAAUUUAUAUACCGCCUUCUUUGAUUGAUGAUCAAGCUCUUGUUGUGUAUUUCUUUAUUUUUGAAUUAUUGUGUCAUAGUUCAUCAUGAAAUGUAAAAGUAAAUUUCCAAAUUAAGAGUAAGUGUUGAAGAAGGAAUUCAUGCUUUCUAAUCUAGAAGUGGUUUUCAUCAAUCCAGACAUUCUUGUGUCACUGAAGUAUGCAGGUAUCCAUUUGUCACGUAAUUCAAACAUAUCCUUGAAGCAUCUUUUAUCUUCCAGAUUAAAUUCAUUAAUAAUCAAAUCCCACUUCUUUUCAAAUUCAUCAGGUUUGAUAUGUAUGUUCCAAACAAGCUUGUUAAAUCUUUUCUUGAAGUCUUUGUUUUUAAAUAAAUCGCCAGUAACCUAUGAAUGAACAAUUUUGCUUAUAUAAGUAUAAUUUAUAUACCUAUUUGGAUACAUCAUAUAUGAGUAAUCAUAUAUGAUUAAUCACAUAUUAUUACUGUAAUGUAGGAAAUAUCAUGUAUGAUUAAUCAUAUAUCAUAUAUGAUUAUAUAAUAAUAUAUGAUUAAUCAUAUAUCAUAUUUGAGUUACUCAUAUAUGAUAUAUGAUUAAUCAUAUAUGAUUAUAUAAUCAUAUAUGAUGAAUCAUAUAUGAUUACUAUAAUGUAGGAUAUAUCAUAUAUGAUUAAUCAUAUAUCAUAUAUGUAAUGUAAUCAUAUAUGAUUAUAUAAUCAUAUAUGUCACACCCCGAAAACCGAAGGCGGAAAUGUUUCCGGGGCGGACUCCACGUUGAGUAUCAAAUCCAAUGCACAUAGUAAGUAAAGUAAUCAACCAUUACAUUACAUAUAAUAAAGUUUACAUUUGUUUGAAAGUGAAGUUGUACAGGUGUGAUACAUAGUAUAUAUGAACAAAAGUAAGACGAGUCUUCAACACACUCCGUCUUUGCAAAAAGGAAUCAUCGGGUACCUGUCUAAUACGGACCUGAGAAUACAAGCAGUUUGAAAAUCAGCAUAAUGCUGGUGAGUUCAUAAGCGGUUUUGUUUUGUGGAAAAGUGUACAAGUUUCCUUUCCGUUUCUGAAAAUGUUACACAUACCAAGAAAAUCCCAUAUUUUCUUAAACGGUUAGUUAUGGAUUCCCAAAAUGUAAUGUAAAGUUGUACACUGAAAACAUGUUUACCCUUAUUAAUGUAUGUUAUUUGGUUUGUUACACUUUUCUAGUUAUGUACAAUGUUCCCCAGGAAAAUCCCAUAUUUUCCUGAAUGUUGGUUACCAAAUGUGAAAGAUGUAUUCUGAAAACCUGGUUAUCUUGUGAAAUGUAUUAGUUUUAACACGUAUAUAAAACUAAUAUUUACUAAAUAAGUUCAUUACUUUAUUCAUUAUUACUAUUAAGUAAAUUUCUGUUAUCCUAAUUGCGAGUUCCAUAACCAUACGAUAGACUAGAUAUGGCAAUAAGUAGUCCACAUCACCUUAUGACUUUCAUCACCUUGAACCAUUUCGAUUCGGCUGUAGCUAGCAGCCAGUUGUGGGGUAGUCAGCCUCGUAUAGAUCUAUACACUCAAGUCACGCUCCCUAUCUAAGAGAUUCUGGUUACGGGUGCAGUCCUCUACUCGCGUAUCUCUGUGGAGUGUUCGCCGAGGACGUGUCUCCAAUUAUAUAGGACUAACAAAUUUACUAGUAAUAAUAUGAUAAUCCUCCACUUGCAUAUCUCUAUGGAGUGUUACCGAGGACAAAACAGUGUACGAAGUGUUAUGUUCAAAGGUUCUAAUGUCAUGCUUUUAACUGAUAAAAUGUGGAAAACGAUUUGUGAAAUAAAUAAAACAUAAUAGUUUACAACUAAUUUCACAAAUGAUGUAUAUGAUUACCAUGCAAGUUUCAAACAGUUAUCAGUUGUGGUUAUCAGUGUUAAAAGCAUAUAAGUUUUGAAACAUACACAUGUAAAACAAGUUUUAAGUACAAUUUUCCAUUGUACUUUGCUUGUAUCCCCCCUAAAAACAGUGAAAAAGGGUAGGGGUAUGAACUCACCGCUUAAUGUAGAGUUCGAGUGUCAACGGAUGCCCUAAACUCCUAUGGCCCCUAUUUUUCAUGUGACGACACAUAAAUGAGUUAGAACUAAGGUGUUUCAUGACUAAACAUGAUGGGAAAACAUCCUUAGGGCUUGGAAUUACUAAGAAUAAGUGUCCUAUGAUCCAAACUUAAUUAUUUAUGCAAGUUUAGGGCCAAAUAUGGGUAUCAGAGUGGGUGUAUGGUCUUGAAAAUGAGUGUGCGGCCAGGAGUGUGUGUGAGGCAACACACAAGAGUGUGCGGCCGUACAGAGGGUGUGUGCGGCCGUACACUCCUCAUUUGAGUCCAUAUGUUGAUUUUCGAAGUGUAUGCUCUUCAUACUUGGGAGUUUUGAAUGUGUGUUGCCCCCAUAUGAAGGUGUGCGGCCGUACACCUUCAUGGGAUGAUGAAUAUGAUGAACAUAAUAAGUUUUAAGCUUGGGAUCCAAGUGUUUACCACUAUACUUAGCUUGAAGAUGGAGUAGAUCACGAUUAUGAAGCCUUCCAAGUGUUCUUGGUUGAUGAUUUAGAGAGAGAAAGUAGAGAGAGGGAAGAGAAACAUCUAAAUGAAUGAAUGAAGGGGGUAUCCAUCCAUAAAUUGAAUUGGGUGUGAGGUUGAGGGUGUUUGCAGUUGGGUGUUUGGUCGUACACAUAGGUGUGUGGCCGCACACACAAGUGUGUGGCCUCACACAUACCUUAUUUAGUGAGCUUGGCCCGAUAUUGUGAUACUAAACACUCUCCAACCCUUCCUAAGACUCAUAUCUUAGAUUAUACUAAGUCUAGAGAACUCAAUGAAACCACAAGAUUUGAUAAAAGACAAUGAACUCAAGUUUUAGUGCUAGAUCAAUUACAUGGGUUAGAAGUUUCGGGUUGUCACAAUGUAUGAUUAAUCAUAUAUAAUAUAUGAUUAAUCAUAUAUGAUUACUGUGAUGUAGGAUAUAUCAUGUGUGAUUAAUCAUAUAUCAUAUAUGUACUAUAAUGUAGGGUUGAUCAUAUAUGAUUAAUCAUAUAUGAUUAUGAAAUCGUAUUAUAUAAUCAUAUAUGAUUAUAUAUGAUUAUAUAUUGUAUCAUCAUAAUCAUAGUAUGAUAUAUAUGAUAACUUAUAUUAUUAUAAUCAUAUAUGAUUAAUCAUAUAUAAUCAUAUAUGAUUAUAUAAUCAUAUUAUUAAAAUACUUAAUUAUAUAUAUCAUUAUAUCAAUCAUAUAUGAUUAACUAUUUUAAUAAUAUGAUUAUAUAAUCAUAUAUGAUUAUAUACUAUAUUAUCAUAUUACAUACUAUGUAAUCGUAUAUGUUUAUACAGUACGAUAUCUAAUAAUUCAUAUUAUUAGAAUAGUUAAUCACAUAUGAUUAAUCAUAUAUGGUUAUAUAGUAUGAUAUGUAAUAAGUCAUAUAUGAAUCAUCUUUCACAAUACUAUAUAAUCAUAUAUGAUUAUAUAAUGUAUUUUUAUUAUACCUUUGCUUGUAGUUUUUUCAUUAUGUGCGACAUGCAUAGUCUGUGUCUUGAAUUUGUUAAGACAGAUUCCACUGCUUGUUUUAUUGAUGCAUCUUUAUCAGUUAGAACAAUUUUUGGUGCUUUCCCUUCAUGUUCUCUAAGAAAAGCUAUAAGCAGCCAUUCAUACAACUCAAUUGUCUCUCUACUCAGCAACCAAGCACCAAUAAUAACUGAUUUCUUGUGGUGGUCAACUGUUGUGAAUGGAACAAAUACCAUUUUAUACCUAUAUAAAGAAAAUGUGUUUAGUACAAUCAUAUAUGAUUAAAAGUAUGUUUGAAUUUGUAGACAUUAACUUAUUUCUUUGUUCUAAAAGUUGCAUCAAAAAAUAUAACUUCUCCAAACUCUGAAAAAAAAUCCUUUUCUCUUUCAUCUGCCCAAAACAGAGUAGCCAACAGAUCUCCAUCACGUAGGAACUCAAAUGAAUAAUUUGGGUAAUGAUCUCUACGAUCAUUCAUUUCGUUUAUCAUUAUUUGAGCAUCCUUGUAACAUAAGAUUCUAUCUACUCCCUUACUCAAGUUUUUAUAGUAUGCUACCUUCACCCCAACAUAUUCACAUCCUCCUUUCAAAACUGCUCGUAUUUUGUGAGCCAUUGUGGGACCAAUUUUAGCUUUUGAUGCAUGUACUACAAACUCUUUUUCAGAAUAUGACAUCUUUCUUGCCUUUUCGUAUAAGGUCUUUCCUCAAUACUUUCUAGUGGGUGGUUGUGCAUUUUAAAGAAUUUCUUAACUUUGUAAUAUGUUGUUCCAUAAACAUUUUCAAAUAUAAUCUUUGUUGUACACCCAGUAAUUAUCUUGUUUGAAUUUGGUUUCCUCUUGACAGAACUUGUAGCCAAUGUAUCACAAGGUUUUGGUUUAUCCUUGCCACCCCUAUUUCAUAUAACAUAUUUUUCUUUUAUUAUUUGGCUAUUGUAUUUUGAUUGGCUACUCAGUCUUGUAUGAAAACCUGUCAUUUCUGGAUAAUCCGUAUACAUUUUUACUGCCAAAUUUAGUGAUUUGAAAACACUCUUUACAACUGGUACAAAUUGUGUACGGACAUCUGGUUUAUAUUCAGACUCUUCAAUUAUGUUACUGCAAUAUGAUUCAUUUGUUGAAUUGGAACUUUCACCUGAUAAAAAAAGGGAAUGACAAAUAUGUUAUUAUAUAAUUUUAUGUUGUAAUAAUCAUAUGUGAUUAACGAUAUGUAUUUAUAUUUUAGUAUAAAAACUCAUAUAUGAUUUUAGACAUUAAUAUAUUAUUAGAUGUGAACUCAUAUUUAUUUGUACAUUGUAUUAUAUGAUCGAUCAUAUAACAUACUGUGUAAUCAUAAAUGAUUAUACGUAUUAGUUUGUAAAUAAUCAUACUUAUAUUGUUUGAUCAUUUAUGAUUAAUCAUAUGUAUUUGUAGGUUGUAAUAUAUGAUUAAUCCUAUUUUAUGAUGUAUUAUCAUAUAUAAUUAUUCAUCGAAAUGUAAUAUUAAUAUAGAUUUCAAUUUGAAAACAUAUAUGAUAAAUCAUAAUUAAAAACUAUACAUACAUAUGAUUAAUUUUAGAUAUGAACAAUCAUAUAUGAUUAUUCAUCCUUAUAUGAUUAAAUAACAUAUUGUAUUGUAUAAUCAUAUAUGAUUAUUCAUAAUUUAUAAUAUAUAAUAAAAGAAUCAGAAUAAAGUGUAGAAACUGUAAUGUAAUAUGUAGUAUUAAAACGAAUUAGUUGUACCUUCAAUACGAAUCGUAUUUUGAAGUUCCUCAGAAGUGAAAGAAAUUGAAUCGAUUUGUUCGUCGUUACGAGAUGAAUUGAUUUAGGCUAUAAUAGUAUUAGUUGAGAUCGACUUGCCAAUUUCUUUUGGAUUCGACAUCAUUUAUGAAAAUUGAUUUUGAUUCAAUUUUCAAAUGAAUUGUUUACGAUUGCGAGGUGCUUGUUUCUUCAAUUUGAGAUUUGUAUAUCGUAUUUAUGAGGAUAUGAACUGAUGCUUUGUUUCGUUCGUUUUUUUCAAUUUGAAGAUUGCGAAUAAUUUGAUAACAUAUUCAGUAAUAAUAGAAUCUUUUUUAUUAUAUUGAAUGAUUUGUACAUUGUAUUUUAUUACAAUAGUAUUAUUUUUUACCGGGCACUGACACACGCUUUCUUUACAAUUUAUUUAUUUAUUUUAAAAAAUCAUCAUUUUAAAUAGUAAAAACAUAAAAUUUUGUUACUUCAAAUUAAAAAAGAAAAUAUUACAUUGCAUUACUUAAAAAAACACAACAUAACAUUAAAAAAACACAUCAAAAAUAAAUUGAAAUUCUUCAAAAGACGAAGAUGAUGAUAUUUUCUAUUGAUUAUGAAAGAAAAAUCAUUAUAAAGAUAUAAAAAUUUGGUUUUGAUUUGAAGAAAUAAGGAUGAAAAGGUUUAUUUUAUAGGUAAAAAAACAAAAAAUUAAAAACUAUAUAUAACGAAUGUUAAAACCAUUCAAUGGUUAAUUUUCUUCCCCACCAAUCAACAAUCUGUGAUAUUAAAGGGGAGAGGUGCGGCCAAAUUGUACUUAAUACCGCAUAGAGGAGGUGCACCUAGCCACCUGCCUAUGUAACAUUAUGUGCGGAAAAACCGCAUGUCACUAGUUAUAUAUCAUUACAUGAGAUACACCAAAGGAUUUUAUAUAUACACUCCAUACUAUUACACACCAUCCUAUUUUAACUAGUAUUGACUUUUUACUAUAGGUUUGUUAGCUUUUAUUAAGAAGCAUGAGUAACUUAUUUGAAGAAAAAAAGCCACGCUUCCCUUUCCUUUUUUUGAACGGCAUGCAUAAAUUAAAAGAAAACUAGCUAGGGGCUAGGAGGUACAAAGUGUUCCAAAAACAACAAACAACAUAAGACAGCAAAGGAAAGGAAAGAAGAGAAAAGGAGAAAAAGCCACAUUCUACAAUAGCACUCCAAGAUUGGGUCACAACACCACUCGAUCCAUCGAAGAUUUUGUCCUUUCCGACUCCGCGUAUUGAUCCAAAGGUGCGAAUGAGCUUGUACCUCAUAUGCUAGUGCCGAUUUUGAUAAGGAGUUUGUAUUCAAAUGAGUCUCUGAAUCUCCAGAUUACCCAUAAGAAGACCAAUAUUAUAGCCUUUUGAACCACCUUCAGCCUUUGAUGUCCACCUAGCAAGUUCUUACAAUCUAACAACUCUUGACAAGAGUUAGGAGAUAGAUCUAGUAACCUCCACCAGCUACAAACCUACAACCAAACUUCCUUUGAGAUCUGGCAACCCACAAAGAUGUGAUCUAUCGUUUCUGGGGCUUCAAGGAACAUCGGACACAGGUCUGAAGAGCUGAUGCCGAACUUAAAUAGGUUCCCCAUGCAUGGAAGUCUACCAUGGCAGACUCGUCAAGCAAGAAUGUUUAAUUUUUCCGGCACCAGUGGGUUCCAUAUCCAUCUUUCAUUACUAUGAGGCAGGGCCAGAUUAUCGAUAUGAUUCCGUAAUGAAGAAACAGAAUAUUCCCCCAAGGGAUCAAGCGACCAUGACCAUUUAUAUGUACCAUCUACAUUUAAAGUGUUCCGGAAGUAGUUUAAAAAAUGCACCUGUUCCUUUUCUAACAUUUUUGGCAGGCCUGCAAUUGUACCCCAACAACUGCUUCUUCUUUUUGCUGUCAUUGGGCGUGACACUCCUCCAUCGAGGCCAUGAAUGGCUUUAAUCACCAAAGCCCAUAUGCUUUCAGGCUGAUGUCUGAAACGCCACCACCAUUUUCCCAAAAGAUCAAGAUUUUGUGCCUUUAGGCUGCCAACACCGAGCCCACCUCUUUGUUUAGCUGCGAGGAUCAUGUCCCAUGCGACCUAUGCCAUUUUCUUUGAUUCCAUGCAACCUCCCCAAAAAACCUCAUCCGAAUUCUUUCAAGAAUUUUAAUCACCCUUGCAGGGGCCUUGUAUAUAGAGAAGUAGAAUGAGCUAAGGCUACUUAGAACAGCUUUGCAUAGGGUCAAUCUACCCCCGAACGACAAGGUGGAAGCUUUCCAUCGAGAUAAUUUCGCCUGAAAUUUUUCAAUGAUCGGUUUCCAAUUUGAUUCUCGAGCCAUAGAAGCACCUACUGGAAGACCAAGGUAGGAAAAUGGGAGAGAGCCAAUCGAACAAUUGAAGCUACGGGCCACUAAUUCUAGCUCACAAUUUUGUACACCAAACCCAUACAAUUUGCUUUUUGACAUAUUAAUCGUAAGCCCCGAUGACAGUUCAAAACAUCUUAGAAUUCUGAUCAGGUUUUUCGUGCUUUCCAAUGACCGUGAUCCCAUAAAUGUUACGUCAUCAGCGUAUUGGAGGUGGGAGAUUAUUGGGCCACGGUGAGGGAGCUGGAUUCCUUUAAAAACUCCCUUUUCUUUCGCCAAUUCUAAUGCAACAUGAAGUUCUUCAGCUGCGAUGAUGAACAAGAACGGGGAUAAUGGAUCCCCCUGCCGAACACCACGCUUCCCUUUCCUUUUUUUUCUUUUUGCAUCCAUGCGGCACUAACUUUUUGUUCUUUAAUGUCAACUUAUUUUUGUAGAUUUUUUAAAGAUAUUACUUCUUUUCCUAUUUAAAAAUAUGUCAAAACCCAUAUGUUUUAAUAACGUUUACCGAUAAUAGACACGGAUAUUUUUUUGUUGCUAGUCACGCACGAUCAAAACUCAUAUGUUUGAUCUAUUAAUAAAAGAUAUACUGUUAUAUCUAUUACUAGUUUAUAACCCGUGGGAACUACGGUUAUAAAAUAAUUUAAAUUUUCAUAGUAAAAAUUCAUAAAUUAUUUAACAAUUACUUUAAAUAAAUCAUUAAUUAUGAGAUAUACCAAAUUUUUAAAGUUAUUAUAACUUUAAAUUUAACAUAUAAUUAAAAAAAGUAAAUUUGAAUUUUAAAGUGUUGCCUAAUAUAUAUCUCUUUGACAUGUGAUAUUGUAUUAAUCAAGAGUUGUAUUAAAGUAACACAUGUCAAAUGGAGAUUAAAACUAUUCAUUUAUUAGAAUAGAGAUUAGUUAUAUUUAAAAUAAAGUUUUCCAUUUAAUUUUCUUAUUUUAUAGGUAUUUAGAUCUUAACUUCUGUUGCUUUCGAUUUUAUGUUUUAAUCAUUGUGUUGUAAUCCGUUGGUUCAUGCUUGUUUUUUUUAUGUCGAUUUCGAUGUAUACAACAACUACCAUUUUAAUUCGAUUCGUAAUCAGUGUUCUCUACUAAAUUCGAUUCCUAAUCAAUGUUCUCUUCUUGAUAUGUGUGAUGGUACAGUUUAAUAUGUUAAAUAAAAACACGUCGCCGCCAAGAAAAGUAGCCAUCUGAUAUUUGUUGGCGUAUUAUUUGUCCAAAGAGAUUUAAUAUCUUCCAUGCAUAUAUACGUUAUUGUAAAAUUCAUGGUAGAUUUAAUAUCUUCAGGUAGAAAACAUGGAGUUCUCUCUCCCGUUUUCAACGAGCAUAGCAACAGUCUUUUUUGUUGUUUUUCUAUAUGUAUACUAGGUUUCUUUGUUUAUAUAUCUUCGAUUUACCUCGUAACUUGACGUGGCCAUAGUUAUUGUGGGGGUGUAUGGACCACAUGUGAAAGUGGGUGACACUUUAAAUAUUACAUAAAAAAAAUAUUAUUAAAAAAUUAGAACAUGGCCCUCAAUUAUAUGACUUAACGAUUUUUAUCAGUCUUCUUUGUCUUCUAACCUAACCGCCAGCUCUUCUUUCACUGCCCUGGCUCACCAUUUUUGCAAAGGCAAACUCAGUUUAUAUUUGUUGACUAAUUAAUUUAGCUGAUGCUAAGGUAAUUAUCAGUAAUUGAGAUUAUUAAUUGAUAUUUUUACCUUUUAGGUACCUUAUAAAUACCUACCAUUUUAUAAAAAAUUUCACACAAUUUCUCUUCUCUCUACGUACUUUCAAUUGUCUUCAAAAAAAAAUAUGGGCCCUUUUGACUCGUCCGAUGAUUCAGAUGACGAUAUUUUCUUCAGGAUGAUGUAUCAUUAUUACACUACCGACCUGCUAUAACCAGACUCAGCCCCAUUACUAACAAGACGUGUGAUGUUAAACAAAAAUCGCGAGCAAGGACACGAAAUCUAUAUCGUGAUUAUUUUGCGGAAAAUUGUGUAUACGGGUCGAAUGACUUCAAAAGAAGAUUCCGUUUGAGUAGCAAUGUGUUCCUACGGAUCGCCAACGCCUUGGAAAGCCGACAUCGCUUCUUUAGUAUACUUUUAUACAAAAUAAAUAAAAAUCAAGUACAUGUUUCUUUAAUUUUACAGCAUAUGCAAUAUAUUUUUAAACUGUAGUUAAUUUAUGUUUAGGUAUGAAUUUUUUUAAUUGAGAUAUGAUGCUAGAGGUAGAUGAGGGUUUAUAAUGUUAUAGAAAUGUGUUGCGGCCAUUCUUUGAUGGCUAUAUGGGAGUCACCCGACACCAUGGACGACUAUAUGAGAAUGUUCGAAAGAACCGCAAGGGAGAGUUUGUAUACAUUGUCAAGGGGUGUUGUCGAAACAUUUGGAGACGUGUAUUUGCGGAAACCUUCGUUGCAUGAUUUGCAAGAAUUGUAUAUGGUGCAGGAAGAACGCCAUAGGCUUCCUAGAAUGAUCGGAAGCAUUGAUUGCACACACUAAAAAUGGAAAAAUUGUCCGGUAGCAUGGAAAGGGGAAUACACAAGUGAUCAUCACGGAUCACCUUCAUUGGUUUUAGAGGCUGUUGCUUCUCAAGAUUUAUGGAUUUGGCAUGCAUUUUUUGGGGUUGCUGGUUCCAACAACGACAUCAACGUUCUUGAUCAGUUGUCAAUAUUCGAAGAUCUUUUGAAUGGAAAGGACUCGGAUGCUCCUUUCACGAUGAAUGGAAACGAAUACAAAUAUGGGUAUUACCUUACAGAUGGAUUAUAUCCUCAGUAUUCCACAUUCGUGAAGGAAUUCCGCCACCCGGUUGAAGAACGAGAAAUUUUUUUAAAGAGAAGACAAGAAAGAGCACAUAAGGAUGUGGAACGUACUUUUGGAGUGUUGAGGCAAAGUGGUAUAUAGUUUAACAUGCAGCACGACCAUUGGAUUUAGAAACUCUACGAUAUAUCGUGUAUGCAUGUAUCAUAAUGCAUAACAUGGUAGUAGAAGAUAAAUGGCGAAAUAUUGCACACUAUAUUCCAACUGAGCCCAGACACGUUCAGUUUCAACCAGGAACAGCAGAGUAUUUGCAUCGAGUUGUUGACAUUCAGGACGCAAAUAAACACAGACAAUUUCGAGAAGACUUGGCAGAUUAUGUCUUCUAUGGUAACAAUAACGAUAACGAAUAGCGUUUAGUUUUAAAAAAUAUAUAUAUAUAUAUUUUUUAAAGAAUAGCGUUGUAUUUUUUUUGGAAUUUGGAUGUUAUGUGUAAUUUAAUUUCUAUGUUAAUUUUAAUCUUUAAAAAUUGUUUUUAUUAUAUGUUAUUUAUAAUUUUUAAACAUUAUGUUUUAUUUAUUAUGUUAUAUUUAAAAAAUAUUUGUCUAAAUUAAAAAAAAAAUUCGAAAAAAAAAUUAUAAAAUGGAAAAAAGUUGGUGUUAUAACAAGAUGCAACAUGGUGACCAUUUCCCUAUUUAGUAUUAUAACACCAUUGGUGAUGUAGCAUGUGAGGUGGCACCAAAAUGAUGUGACAUCUAGUUGCUCACACUCAAUACUCUUAUUGUUAUAUGCUAACCCACCCACAAGAAACCAUGGUUUUGGUUGUUUGCAUUUUACAUUGUUAAUUGUUAGCUUUUUUAUGAUUAUUUAAUUUAUUAUUGUUGCUAGGUUUUAAUUGGUAAUGCCUGGAGUUCUGCUUCAUAUCUCUGGAAUGAUUAGCGUGAAAUGACGUACCAUUAUUCAAGACCCAGGAUUCUAUUGCGUUUACAACCGAAUAAAUGAGCAUGUCAUCUUUAUAAUUUUCCUCUAUAUUCAUCCCCUUGUGGCCUUUAUAAGCCAUGCGCAUUGCAUACUAGUUUUCGACAUGAUCAUUCUCUAUGCAGUUCCAACAGGUCACGUCCCUCAUGAUGUUCUAUCCACCUCUCCUUCUCGAUUUUUAUCUUCCACUACCCCCCCCACAUCUUCUAUUGGACCCCAUUCCCCUAUUGGAUGCUUCUCUAGCAUUUCGCCUGCAUACAUCCUCACCAAGGAUUAAAUCGUCUAUGCUUUCGAAUGGGUUAAACCUCCGUGUCUCCUUGAGAGCCAUACCGGGGAUGCUCAUCAAUAAUAUCCUAGUGAUUACAUGUGACGACUCAUCUAAUUCCUAAUGCGAUGCUCCAGUUGUCACCCUUGACGGUAUCAGAACAUCUUUUCGUAGUCAGAACUCUAGUAGAUAGACAAUGAAGAGGUAUUGAGGUAAUAUUGAUAUUAUUGUUGACUUAAGAUUAUUACUACUGGCUCUCUAGUUGCUAACCUUAUGUCCAAAAUCAGUAUCUAUUGAGGUAUCCUCUUUCAUAGUGCUACGUGAAUUGUUUAUAUAGCGUCUAGGGAUAUAAUCUAAAUGGUUAGCCUAGCAUUUGAUAAGGGGAUAAAAUGUAUCUAAAUGCAUUUAUUGUGAUAAAAGUGUACUUAAUUUCCAUGUGUACCUAAAUGAAUGUGUAUCAUAUGCAAUGCCCAUACACACACAAUUUUUUUUUAUUUUAAAAGGUUUAAGUUGAAAAUCAUUUUGAACAUAAUUAUAAUAAAAUCGUUUCUAGUUUAACAUUAAUUUUCUUUAAUUAAGCAUAUGUGGCCAGGAAAUACCUAAUUAAAGUCCAAUAAUGCUUACUCGACUUAGUCAUAGCAGUUGUAUGUUAGUAUUUUGAAAUACAUUUUGAAUUUUUUUUGCUAUAGUUUGUGUUAUUCAAAGGAAAACCAAUAUUUUAUAUAACUGUCAGCUCUGAUACCAUUCUCUGUCACAUCCUGCUGAAGCGGAAACAUUGGACACAACAGUACAAAGGGUCUCAUAGAAAAAAUUAAAAGAAAACACCAACCAUAGUAUUAAAAAACAUUGCAAUUUACAAUGACUUUGAACAACUUUUGAAAGAAACUAUGCAACACUCAAAAGUUUUAACCAAUAGAAACUUAAUGUCACAUUUCUCAAAACCACAAUUGUCUCAAAUGUCAAACACAAUUCAACAAAAUAACUGAUAGUAUCCCAGAAUCCUCAAACAUAGCCUCGAACAAGUGUGUACAAUCAAGUCGACGUCUUCCCGCGAUCCUAAGAAGUACCUGAAACACAUAAAACACAACACAAUAAGCACGAAGCUUAGUGAGUUCCCCAAAAUACCACAUACAUAAAUAAGAAGCAUCUCAUGGCUAUAACUCGGCUUGGACCCUCCGGUCUCAUGCGUCUCGGUGAGGAUCCUCCGGUCUUACGGCUUGGUGUGGACCCUCCAGUCAUGUGUCUUAGUGAGGAACCUCCGGUCUCACAGAUCAGGUUGGACCCUCCAGUCCUAUAUCUCAGUGAAGACCCUAUGGUCUCACCACUCGGUUUGGACCCUCCGGUCCUAACGCAAUAAAGCACAGAAUAAUAUAACAUAUAUCACAAAGACAAAAUGCAUAAUAUUACAUAACUCAGUAUAAACAGAUAGGACCAUCCGGUCGAUAACUCAAAUAAGACCCUCCGGUCGCACAGUAUUAUCGCUCUGGUAAGUACAGUGAGAAGACUCACAUCGCAAGUAAGCAAGUAGAUUUAGUACCCCACGAAUAGUCUAGACUUCGCGUACAUAAUUUAAUUAUCUCUAAUAAGCAAUAAUAAGCAAUUUGUAUUAACCACUCUGAGAUGCUGAGCUAACUCCUCCACUAAAUCUCAAAAGGGUGAAAAUGUCAUUUUACCCCUCCAUGGUCUCCAAGGUCCACAGUUGACCAAACCCUAAAAGUCAACGCUCAAGUCAACAGUCGAUGUCGACAAAACUUGUCGAGUGCAUUUAUGCGAGUCGUCGAGUUGAUUCGCUUUCUCUGAAGUAUCGGGAAAAUCCAACUCAACUCGUCGAAUUGUCUUAUCAACUCGCCAAGUUGUGGCGCAUCCAGUAUAUCGGCGAAAAACCUAGCUAGCUCAUGCACUCGUCAAGUCCCUCUAGACCAAUUCUCAUUCAGGUGAUUCUAAGCUGAAAUAAUGUCGCAAACUCUAAGUCUAGCCUCCCAAGGCUGAAAUACCAUGUAAAGCUGCAAGCUUUACUUCCAUGCAUGGCAUCUAGAGCUCAAAAUGCCAAAAAAAUCUCUAUAUAGGGUUUAAUGCUUAAAAACAUGCCACCAGCUUGAUAAAGUUUGGAUCUUUGGGCUCAAGGGACUACAUGUGGUGUAGAUCUAAAGUCUCAACUUCCAUGGCAAGCUCAAACACUCUAGAACUCAAAGAAGGACGGAAAAAGCCCUAAAACUCCCUAGAAAGAGAUCUAACAAAAUAAAUGAUCAAUAUGGUAGUUUUUAACCUCUAAACAACAGCUAACACUGAAGAACACUAGAUCCAUAACUCCCUCCUCAUUCCAAACCUUGUUGCUCUCCAACCUCCUUCCAAAAGUGCACAAGAAUACCCAAGUUUAAUCUUUCUCUAUCUUACAACGAAUGAAGCUUGAUUUGGGUUUCUCAUAUAGUCCUAAGGUGAAAAGUGUUGGAUUAGUGUCUAAGUCCAUAACUAUUUUGGUAUGUACUUGAGCCGAUGGUGCAUGGUCCUUUUGGGUUGCCUUCACCAAAGCAACUUGAUAGGAUAAAUUAUGGAGAGAGAGGAUUAAUUAUGAUUUAUUAAUAUAUUAUGAGAAUAAUAUAUUAAAGGAGAAAUCAUAUUGUUUAACUAAUAUUAGUCAAGAAUUAAUAAGAAUUAAGUUUGUGGCUAAAAGACAUUAAUUAAACUUAAGGGACUAGAACUGUCAAUUGUGUGAUAGUUGAAUAUUGGGCUAAGGGACUCCAUAUUAGAGGGGUGGACGAAUUCUAUGGGGAAGCCCAUUAGAAAUCGUCCUAGGCCUUUAAGGAGGGAGUACAUGGGUUGCUUAGGGCUUAAGCACCCAAAUUAGGGUUUCCUUGUUAGAUAACCCUAAUAGCCUCAUUAUUUAAAGGACCCUUGAGCCUCAAAAACGUGGUGACUUGUUCCUUAGGGUUUUCACACGUUUUGGGCAGCCUCCUUUCUCCUUAUUCUUCAUACUCUUGCUCUUGGUGUUUGUGAACCAUUAGAGGACUGAUAUUUGUGACUCUAAGCUUUCUAAAGUCAUUACAAGGAGGAUUUGAGAUUUUUAUUGCUACAUAUCAAUCAAGGUAAUAUCUAAACCCCAGUCAUAAGUUAAUUUGAUUAAUUGUAUGCUAGAUCUAGGGUUUAAAGUCUUGGAAGAAUUACGUGUACAAUAGAGAAACCUAGAUCCAAGCAUUAGGGUUUGUAUGAGCACAUAGUAUGUUCUUAUGGUCGAAACCCAUCAGUGGUAUCAGAGCCUUGAUUGGUUUCUAUUCUAUUGAUUCAUAUUGAUCGAAAUCAGCACUGAAAAUCGAAUUUUUUUGCUUCUGAGUGUUUGACUCGCAUUCACUUGGNUUGGUGAACUCGCCGAGUCAGCUGUACUCGACGAGUCUAGGUCCAGAAUCGACGAGUCAAAGCGUCUGACAGCUCAUAUUCGCGAUUUUCUUCCUGUUUUGGCUUUGGAUAAUUACCAUAAACAUGUUUUUGUUAUAAAAUCCGAAUUUUAUUAAUAUUUGGUGAUUGUCUUUACCAAAAUAGAAGAUAAUUUUCAUAAUUUAGAUAAUCACUUGUUUUAUUAUAUAAAGUUUGAUUAUUUGUAAUUUAGAUUUGAAUUAUCUUGUGAAAAAGUUUCAAAUUUUCCCCUUUAGGUUUUAUAGUUUAAAUUUGAACUUAAAAGUUUUGUUUUUAAAAUUUAAAUAGUUGAAAACCUAGUGUUUUGAAAUGUUUCAAAACAUGCCCUCAAGUUUUUGGAAUUUAAAAGUUUAAUUUGGAAAUGUUAAAUUCUAAAACCAAAAUAUUGUUUUGAAAAGUUCAAAUCACACCCUUAAGGUUUUAUUAAUUAAUUAAAGUGUAUAAUUAAAAGAGGUUUAAUAAAUCCAUAAAGUUUUGGUUCACAAUUUAAUUGAAUUAAAAGUAUAAUUGUUAAAUUUGACCACCUAGUAUUUUAAAAGUGUAAAAUACACCCUAUACUAUAUAUAACAUUAAAAGUCUAACAUUAUAUAUAUGUAUGAGUAAAAGUCAGUCUUACCGUUAGUAGGCCUCAUUCACGAAGCUGGUCUAUAAGGGGUGUUUAAGGAAAUUGCCUAUAAAAUGGCGAUUGAAUGGGUGUCAACUCUUACCCACCGCACUCUUGACUAGUGGAGGGUCGUUAGCCGAACGGGUAGGAUAGGACAGAACCUUCCAUUAUAAGUAUAAUGAAGUAAAAAAGUAACUAAAUGUUUUACAAAUUCCCAAUCUUAGUUACUUUAGGCAAAAGUGAAUUGAUGCAAUUCCAUGAAAUUACACUUUGUACCCUUGCGAAGACGUUAGUGGAGCGUGUGUGGUUAACCGGCACACUAAAUGGUUCUAAGCAAAGGUAGCAAAGGGUGACUCAAUGUUUGUCAUAGUUCGGUGGAGCGUGUGUGGUUUACCGGCACAUCGAAUAGGUGACUGUAACAUGUGAGGGCACCAUGUAAGUUUGCAUGGUUAUUCACACCCGCUUUGUGAUCCUCGGCAUCCCAGUCACAAACAAGAGGGGCAUAUCGAGAUUUAAACAUGCCAUUGAAAGUUCAAUGAAUCUCAAAGGAUCUAGGAGUUUUCAUAGAUUUAAAACUUAAAUUUCUUUUUCGUUUUUCGUGGUGGAAAUUAGUGAAUCGUCAUUCACUUACCUUCAAAUGUUCUGCAAUUAGGGUUACGGCAUCCCUCUCCCGAGUUGUAGAAUAUUGUGUUGGGUCCUAGCCUUAGUAUCUCAUUUGGGUGAUUUACUAAGGACUCAAUCAAUCAACUAACUUGAAUUCGUUUUCUCCCGUUUUGUAGAUGUCAAAGUUCGACAACUAUGGUCUUCCCAAAUCCCGUGGAACAAGCAUUCCACAUGAAGAUGAUAUUCCACGAUUCGAUCGAGGAACAAGAAAUCAUGCUUCACUUCCUCCUCCUCCUCCAAUUAUUCUCCCUAACCCACAAGUUCAAAGGCUUGAAAAGUUCAAGAUCACUCAAGCCCUUUUGGCAAGUAAACAUAAAGAAGGAAAGUCGGUGUGUGCACACGUCCUAGGGAUGAAGUCACACAUUGAUAGGUUAAGAAUGUUGGGAUCCGUUGUCUGUGAGGAGAUGGCUGUUGACCGGGUUCUUCAGUCACUUCCUAACUCGUAUAGUGAGUUCGUAAGAGAGUAAUAUAUGAUGAACCAUGACGUGACCCUCAUCGAUCUCACCUAUAUGCUUAUUGCUGCUGAAUCAACAAUGAUUUGGCGCACUGGAAAAGCAAAGUUGAUUGGUGAAUCUGCCUUCCAGACCUCUAUGGAUAUAGGCAAUGGCAACGAAAGACAUGCCAUGAUCGAAAAGUUUGAUCAUAAGAGAAAGGCAAUGUCUGAAGUAGUUCCAUGUCCUGUUCCAAAAGAGUCAAUUUGCUUUUAUUGCCAAGAGAAGGGGCAUUGGAGAUGAAGCUGCCCUAUUUACCUAAGAGAUCUAAGAGAUGGGAGAGUCAAAACAUAUGGCUCUACUUUAGGUAAAAUCCAUUAACUAACUCUUUUAAGUUCCUAUUCUAGAUUCUUAAUACAUGAUGUAAUAAGAUUACAUUUUGAUGUUUUAUAGGAUCGAAGAAAAGAGAGGAAACUUAAGGGAAGAAGUAAGCGGAAUUUAAUCAUGAAGAAAUGGAUUUCGAUCACAUUACUUGAAGAUUGGGUUCUUGAGCUACUACUUAGAGUUAGAAUAAGAUUGCUAAGAAAUAUGUAUCAACAUAGUUUUUCAAUGAAUUGCAUUGUAAGGACAAAUUUUUCCGCAAUAAAAUAAAUUUUGAUUUUAUAUUAUUUAUUUAUCCUUGCAAUGGCGUGUAUGAAAAAUUGAUGUUUGAAUGUUUCUAUUAUUAGCAAUAAUGGAUUUGAUUCUUAAUUAUGUUGUUUGUGGAAAUGUCGAGAAUUUACCAAAUAGGGAGAGUUUCUCAUCGCCCAAGUUUCAAUUGGACAGAAACUUGGAAUCAUGCAACUU
rnacentral:lncRNA from 1 species